ACGGAAGGCAGCAGUGAGGAAUAUUGGUCAGUGGUCGAAAGACUGAACCAGCCAAGUCGCGUGCAGGAAGACGGUCCUAUGGAUUGUAAACUGCUUUUGUACGGGAAUAAAGUGCGGGACGUGUCCCGUUCGGAAUGUACCGUAAGAAUAAGGGUCGGCUAACUCCGUGCCAGCAGCCGCGGUAAUACGGAGGACCCGAGCGUUAUCCGGAUUUAUUGGGUUUAAAGGGUGCGCAGGCGGAGGAUUAAGUCAGCGGUGAAAUUUUCAUGCUCAACAUGAAAACUGCCAUUGAUACUGGUCCCCUUGAGAGAUGUCGAGGAUGGCGGAAUGUGAUGUGUAGCGGUGAAAUGCUUAGAUAUGUCACAGAACACCGAUUGCGAAGGCAGCUGUCCAGAGAUCUUCUGACGCUCAGGCACGAAAGCAUGGGUAUCAAACAGGAUUAGAUACCCUGGUA
rnacentral:rRNA from 1 species